ensembl:snoRNA small nucleolar RNA SNORD67
UGUGAGAGUGAUGAGUUGCACUGUUCAGUUGGGGUGUUGGUUGCAGUGGCACUGACACCUCAAUCUGACUAUACCUGAGGACACACUAAAGUGCACAGGGGCCAUCUGACUCAAC